GAUGAAGAACGUAGCGAAAUGCGAUACGUAAUGUGAAUUGCAGAAUUCAGUGAAUCAUCGAGUCUUUGAACGCACAUUGCGCCCCCUGGUAUUCCGGGGGGCAUGCCUGUCCGAGCGUCAUUGCUGACCUCAAGCACGGCUUGUGUGUUGGGCCUCCGUCCUCCUCCCGGGGGACGGGCCCGAAAGGCAGCGGCGGCACCGCGUCCGGUCCUCGAGCGUAUGGGGCUUCGUCACCCGCUCUUGUAGGCCCGGCCGGCGCUUGCCGACACAUCAAUCUUUUUUCCAGGUUGACCUCGGAUCAGGUAGGGAUACCCGCUGAACUUAAGCAUAUCAAUAAGCGGAGGA
rnacentral:misc_RNA from 1 species